rnacentral:tRNA from 1 species
GCCUUCAUGGCGUAACGGUAACACACUCGGCGCGUAUUCGAGAGGUCCAGGUUCGAGUCCCGGUGAGGGCA